GUCUUUUUGAUUUUAAUUUAAAGUCUAACCUGCUCAAUGAAUAUUUUAAAUAGCUGCGGUAUUUUGACCGUACAAAGGUAGCAUAAUCAAUAGUUUUUUAAUUGAAAACUGGAAUGAAGGGUUGAAUAAGAAAUUUUCUGUCUCAAUUUUAAUUAAUUAGAAUUUUAUUUUUAAGUUCAAAAGCUUAAAUAAUUUUAAAAGACGAGAAGACCCUAUAGAGUUUUAUUAAUUUAGAAAGAAUUAACUUUAGAAUUUAAUGUUUUUAAAAAUAAAUUAAUUUGAUUGGGGUGAUUGAUAAAUUUAGAAAACUUUAUUUUUUGUUAAACAAUAAUUAUUGUUUUUAUGAUCCAAUUUUUUUGAUUAGAAGACAAAAUUACCUUAGGGAUAACAGCGUAAUUUAUUUUAAGAGUUCUAAUCGAAAGAUAAGAUUGCGACCUCGAUGUUGGAUUAAAAUUAAUUUUUGGUGGAGAAGCUAAAAAAUUAGGUCUGUUCGACCUUUAAAAUUUUACA
rnacentral:rRNA from 1 species